GGGGGUAUAGUUUAAUUUGGUAAAACAUAUGUUUUGCGUACAUAGUAGUAUUGGUUCAAAUCCAAUUACCUCCA
rnacentral:tRNA from 1 species